GAUGAACGCUGGCGGCGUGCCUAAUACAUGCAAGUCGAGCGAACAGACGAGAAGCUUGCUUCUCUGAUGUUAGCGGCGGACGGGUGAGUAACACGUGGAUAACCUACCUAUAAGACUGGGAUAACUUCGGGAAACCGGAGCUAAUACCGGAUAAUAUUUUGAACCGCAUGGUUCAAAAGUGAAAGACGGUCUUGCUGUCACUUAUAGAUGGAUCCGCGCUGCAUUAGCUAGUUGGUAAGGUAACGGCUUACCAAGGCAACGAUGCAUAGCCGACCUGAGAGGGUGAUCGGCCACACUGGAACUGAGACACGGUCCAGACUCCUACGGGAGGCAGCAGUAGGGAAUCUUCCGCAAUGGGCGAAAGCUUGACGGAGCAACGCCGCGUGAGUGAUGAAGGUCUUCGGAUCGUAAAACUCUGUUAUUAGGGAAGAACAAAUGUGUAAGUAACUGUGCACAUCUUGACGGUACCUAAUCAGAAAGCCACGGCUAACUACGUG
rnacentral:rRNA from 1 species